UCUGCGGAGAGGUGCGGGCUCCCUCUGCUGGAAAUAGUGAAUCACAGUCAGGACGGGAGAGGACAACAUAGAACUGCACUCUGGGUGGGAAGGACCUCAGAGAUGACCUGCCCAACCUGGUGUUUUACAGAUGAGAAAACUGAGGCCAAGGGUGGCCACCUCACUGGAUGACCUCUUUGAAGUUUGCCUGUGUGUGUCCCAGAUUGGGGCACUCUCUCCCGCCCCCCAACCACGUGCUGCAGAGAGGAGCUGGGCAGUUUGGUUCUAAUGGGCUCCCUGACUUCUGAACCUCACUUUCCAUUCCAGCCCACCUCAUCCCUCUGGGACUACUCAGUGGAGUGGUGGUAAGGGCACCGCCAGGAUGCAGGCACAGGGCAGGGGCAGGGGCUCCAGCUGUGCACUUCCUUCCCCCAGCAAACUGCAGUUCCAGGGAAGGUCCUGAGGGCAAGGCAGGAGGUCAGGAGGGCAGGGGGUCAGGAGGGCUGGGCUGUGGCAUCCACCCACCCACACCAUGCCUGGGAAGGACAGAGGCCACAGAGCUGGGGUCUCCCAGCCGGUGCCACUCAGGGAAGCAAAAGGGAGCUGCACAGACAUCUAGGUCCAGCCUGCAUUUGCUCAUCCAGCUGGUAAUAUGACUGAUGGGUAGAGAGGUCCAAAGGGACUUCCAGUGGGGACACUGGCAGACUUGGAAGAUUCUGGAAACUUGUAGCUUCUCUGUGCUUGCUGUUCAUGGUACUAGCUCUCUGCUAGGAGCUAUGUGAUGUGCUUUAUGGUUAUUAUUUUUGUUUUCUUUUUUGAGACGGCAUCUCGCUCUGUCACCCAGGCUGGAGUGCAGUGACGUGAUCACGGCUCACUGCAGCCUCCAACUCCUGGGCUCAAGUGAUCCUUCCACCUCAGCUUCCUGAGUAGUUAGGACUAGUAGGCUGUACCACCACACCCAGCUAAUUUUAAACUUUUUUUGUAGAGACAGGAUCUUGCUAUGUUGCCUAGGCUAGUCUUGAACUCCUGGCCUCAAAUGAUCCUCCUGCCUUGGCCUCCCAAACUGCUGGCAUGACAGGCAUGAGUCACUGUUCCCAGCCUCUUUUCAAUAAUACUACAAGUGAAUAGCCAUGGAGCUCCUAAAAAGAAUGAGACCCUUCACUUGGCCUGCCUUCUCUCCCUUGCACUCCCUGAGCGAGUGCUUCGGCUACAGUCUGGGAGCCGAAGAUGCCUGUGUUUGAUGCCUCCAGCACCCUGUCUCUGCAUCUCUAAUCCAGCCAUGUGACCAUCUCUUGCCCACCUUUGGCCAAUGUCCCUGAGACAUUUCAGGUGCAUCAUGCUGCAGACUGGGGCUGCUGUCUCCACAAUACCGCGCUUCCCCCGUGUCCCCAUCUCAGUCUUUGGUCCCACUAUCCACUCCCCACAUGCAGCCGUUAAGUCCUCUGUUUUUCUUCCUUAAAUCUCCAGAAUCUGCUGACAGUUUUACUUCUCUGUUGUUAUUGCUUUAAUUCAGACCCCUCCGCCCUGGCCACAAUCCUUUACCCCUUAUUCCCCCACACCCUCCCGAGCCUUUCCUGCCAUCUCCUUUCCAGGGGAUACUCCCUUCUGAGUUCUCUCCAGCUCUGCCCAACAGAGUUUUCUAAAAUUCCGAUCUGCACACGUCACUCCCUGGCUUAUAAAUCCUUCAGCUGCUCCCAUGCUUUAAAAGAAAAUCAUACACCUUGACUUUGCACAUGGCAUUUGAGCUCUGCCUCUGCUGGUUACCAGGUCUCACCCUUCUGCUGCAAACCCAGAUGCAAAGACAACCCAAAGCUCCCUGAAGGCACCUGUAGCACUUUGCCUCCCCACACCUUGCUGCUGCGUCAGCCUCCCUGCUUUCUUUGUUUGGCCAAAGCCUCAUCUUCCUUCCCAUCUCACCUCAAACAUCUCUGCCUCUGGAAGGCUCCCUGGACUCCCCUCACCCCUCAACUGGUUUGGGGGUUGUGAUCUGAGAUAGCACACCUCUUCUUAUAUCUCUGUCCAAAAUCUUAAUGUAAGACAUUGGUGAAUACUUUAAUUUUCUCUUCCACUAAAUGAUGUUACUUUGA